UGCAAAUAGACAAAGUGUUAUAAAAUAAACACUUAAAUGUGUAUUUGGGAUGUUUUCUUUCCACUAGUCUGAAAGAAGACGUUAUGUUAUGGAAGCAAAAUAGCCCAAAAUCUCAAAAUUGACCGCAUGAAAAACUAUGUUUUUGUCUGGGGGGUUUCCCUUUAAUGGAAGACACCCUAGA